rnacentral:rRNA from 1 species
AUUGAACGCUGGCGGCAUGCCUUACACAUGCAAGUCGAACGGUAACAGGUCUUCGGAUGCUGACGAGUGGCGAACGGGUGAGUAAUACAUCGGAACGUGCCCGAGAGUGGGGGAUAACGAGGCGAAAGCUUUGCUAAUACCGCAUACGAUCUCAGGAUGAAAGCAGGGGAACGCAAGGCUUGGCCCUCCAGGAGCGGCCGAUGGCAGAUUAGGUAGUUGGUGGGAUAAAAGCUUACCAAGCCGACGAUUUGUAACUGGUCUGAAAGGCCGAACAGCCAAACUGGGACUGAGACACGGCCCAGAUUCCUACGGGAGGCAGCAGUGGGGAAUUUUAGACAAUGGGCGCAAGCCUGAUCCAGCCAUGCCGCGUGCAGGAUGAAGGCCUUCGGGUUGUAAACUGCUUUUGUACGGAACGAAAAGACUCCUUCUAAUAAAGGGGGUCCAUGACGGUACCGUAAGAAUAAGCACCGGCUAACUUCGUGCCAGCCGCCGCCGUAAAAC